rnacentral:rRNA from 1 species
AGAGCGAACGCUGGCGGCAGGCUUAACACAUGCAAGUCGAGCGCCCCGCAAGGGGAGCGGCAGACGGGAGAGUAACACGUGGGAACGUACCUUUCGGUUCGGAACAACCCAGGGAAACUUGGGCUAAUACCGGAUACGUCCGUAAGGAGAAAGAUUUAUCGCCGAAAGAUCGGCCCGCGUCUGAUUAGCUAGUUGGUGAGGUAACGGCUCACCAAGGCGACGAUCAGUAGCUGGUCUGAGAGGAUGAUCAGCCUCACUGGGACUGAGACACGGCCCAGACUCCUACGGGAGGCAGCAGUGGGGAAUAUUGGACAAUGGGCGCAAGCCUGAUCCAGCCAUGCCGCGUGGGUGAUGAAGGCCCUAGGGUUGUAAAGCCCUUUCGGCGGGGAAGAUAAUGACGGUACCGCAGAAGAAGCCCGGCUAACUUCGUGCCAGCAGCCGC